UUCCGCCAUAUUGUCCCAUUGACAUAUUCACAAGUUGAUUCGAGUGAGAUUCACCUCGUCGCUUUUGCUAUUCAUUUCUUCGAUGAUUGCCUAUGGCUAGAAAAUUUAAGACCGAGUGUUAAGAAUACAAUAUCCCUUAAAGUCAACUUGCAUUCAACUUUAUUGCUUAUCGAAGUUCCCUAUCAGCUGUGAUUUCAACCCUUACGCAAAAUGGGAGUUAUUUUUCUUGAACAUAUUGGAGGCACUCGGUUAUUCUCAUGUGCCGCUUGUGACACGAAUUUAACGAAUCGUAGCCAAUUAAUAAGCACACGAUUUACCGGAGCUACUGGACGUGCCUUUUUAUUUAACAAAGUAGUCAACCUUAAUUACAGUGAGGUACAAGACAGAGUCAUGCUGACCGGUCGACAUAUGGUACGUGAUGUGAGCUGCAAGAAUUGUGAUGCUAAACUUGGAUGGGUAUACGAGUUUGCAACUGAUGAAAAUCAACGAUAUAAAGAGGGCCGAGUUAUCUUGGAACGUGCCCUUGUCACGGAAACUGAUGGCAUGGGCGAAAAUAUCUAAUAUUUACAGCCAGAACUCAGAAUUGAAGGGUGCUGGAAGCCAGAGAUAACAAGGAAACAAAAUAUAUUUAUUCUACAAGAGCCUCAAAACGGGUGCAAAUUUCAGAAACGACUUUUCUUAAUGCGCAGCACUUUAGCUAUGAUAGCUUUGUGGAUUUAUUUUUCAUUUCUCUUACCAUAGGGAGUAGAUAAUUGUCUUGGAUUGCAUUAUAUUUUGUGCAACAGUUUAUGCAAUUAUAUACAUGUGAUACUAAUAUUAAUAUCAAGAAGACUUGUGCGUACAAGCAUAGAUAUAUGUUCAAUAUAUCUGUGGUGCAAGCUUUCGAAGCAACAGAUAUCCAUGGAGCAUUACGUAUGUCAAUCAUGUAUAACUUGUGUCAUAACAUCUGUGGCGUCGAGUACCCUUCCUUGUAGUAGAUUUAUUUUAGUUAGAAAUGUAUGUUUAAUUUUAUAUAGAAAGUAUCUAUGUCGGUAUAAGUGGAAAAUGUGAUUUUCUUAGAUAUUCUGUACUAUAACUUUACUCGAGGACUUGAGGUUUCUAGCUCCAUUUUAUUAUUCUUUUCAUACAAGGAAUUUAUAUUCAAAUUCAGCAUUUCUCAUCAUCUCAAUAAUCUUAAGAAUGACUUACUUACCUUAGUUUGAUCUUGGUUUUACAAAGAAAUAAGUAUAGUAGUAAGUUAACUUAAAGUCGAGCUAGAUACCCCCACAAGUUACUUAUAUUAGUGUUACACAUAGCGCAAUAAAUGUAAAUUUUUAUGUAUGUA